UACGAAGGGUGCAAGCGUUACUCGGAAUUACUGGGCGUAAAGCGUGCGUAGGCGGUUUGUUAAGUCCGCUGUGAAAGCCCUGGGCUCAACCUGGGAAUUGCAGUGGAUACUGGCAAGCUAGAGUGCGGUAGAGGAUGGUGGAAUUCCCGGUGUAGCGGUGAAAUGCGUAGAGAUCGGGAGGAACACCCGUGGCGAAGGCGGCCAUCUGGACCAGCACUGACGCUGAGGCGCGAAAGCUAGGGGAGCAAACAGG
rnacentral:rRNA from 1 species